AUUGAACGCUGGCGGCAGGCCUAACACAUGCAAGUCGAGCGAGCGGCGGACGGGUGAGUAAUGUCUGGGAAACUGCCUGAUGGAGGGGGAUAACUACUGGAAACGGUAGCUAAUACCGCAUACCAUCAGAUGGGCCCAGAUGGGAUUAGCAAGUAGGUGGGGUAACGGCUCACCUAGGCGACGAUCCCUAGCUGGUCUGAGAGGAUGACCAGCCAAACUGGAACUGAGACACGGUCCAAACUCCGACGGGAGGCAGCAGUGGGGAAUAUUGCACAAUGGGCGCAAGCCUGAUGCAGCCAGGCCGCGUGUGUGAAGAAGGCCUUCGGGUUUUAAAGCACUUUCAGCGGGGAGGCGUUACCCGCAGAAGAAGCACCGGCUAACUCCGUGCCAGCAGCCGCGGUAAUUC
rnacentral:rRNA from 1 species